UUACUUCGGUUUGAUAUGCUGAGUGGCGGACGGGUGAGUAACGCGUGGGUACCUGCCUCAUACAGGGGGAUAGCAGCUGGAAACGGCUGGUAAUACCGCAUAAAACCGCAUGGUAAAAACUCCGGUGGUAUGAGAUGGACCCGCGUCUGAUUAGCUGGUUGGCGGGGUAACGGCCCACCAAGGCGACGAUCAGUAGCCGUCCUGAGAGGGUGACCGGCCACAUUGGGACCGAGACACGGCCCAGACUCCUACGGGAGGCAGCAGUGGGGAAUAUUGCACAAUGGAGGAAACUCUGAUGCAGCGACGCCGCGUGAGUGAAGAAGUAGUUCGCUAUGUAAAGCUCUAUCAGCAGGGAAGAUAGUGACGGUACCUGACUAAGAAGCUCCGGCUAAAUACGUGCCAGCAGCCGCGGUAAUACGUAUGGAGCAAGCGUUAUCCUGAUUUACUGGGUGUAAAGGGAGUGUAGGUGGCCAGACAAGUCAGAAGUGAAAGCCCGGGGCUCAACCCCGGGACUGCUUUUGAAACUGCAGGGCUAGAGUGCAGGAGGGGCAAGUGGAAUUCCUAGUGUAGCGGUGAAAUGCGUAGAUAUUAGGAGGAACACCAGUGGCGAAGGCGGCUUGCUGGACUGUAACUGACACUGAUGCUCGAAAGCGUGGGGAG
rnacentral:rRNA from 1 species